UACGGAGGGUGCAAGCGUUGUCCGGAUUCAUUGGGUUUAAAGGGUGCGCAGGCGGGCCAUUAAGUCAGGGGUGAAAGACGGUUGCUCAACAAUCGCAGUGCCUUUGAUACUGGUGGUCUUGGGUGACCUUGAGGUAGGCGGAAUGGGUGGUGUAGCGGUGAAAUGCGUAGAUAUCAGGAGGAACACCGAUGGCGAAGGCAGCUCGCUGGGACGGUACUGACGCUGAGGCGCGAAAGCGUGGGGAGCAAACAGG
rnacentral:rRNA from 1 species